rnacentral:lncRNA from 1 species
UCAGCAAAUGUCCCGUUUGGCUGUAGUGGACUAGCUUUAUUUGGGGUUAAGGUCAAGCAGUUGCUUUUAGUUGGUCAAGUUAUUAUUACUAAUUGAGAGCCAGGUUUUAACAUUAACCCAAGUUAUUAACCCAAAGUACCCUUUCCAAACGGAAAGAAUACCACUUACCAUUACCAUAGUCAAACCAUCAUCCUUGUCACCACCUGUGAACCAACCAUCUCUGAUCAAGUAUCUCUAAUCAAAGAGGAUCCCAAGGCCGCUCAUAACCGUGAGCACGGCUGAUAUAUCAGUUUCAUUACCCUCUGCAGAGGUCACACACUUUACCCAUGAGCCGUGAUUCCCGUUUUGCCCGGGGAUCAUGACUCCCCAUUGAUCACUUCCUAGGUGGUCCGGCAGGGUAUCACUACGUAGCUUUUACAAAGAUUCCCUAGAGGUCAUAGCCGCCCGUUAGGUUUCUCCAGUUUGAUAAACACAGUACUCCUCCCCGCAGGAGGGUGACUAACAAAAGCAAAACGAAAGGACCUCGGCACCCCGCCUCGGCAGAGCAAGCACUGUGCCUGGACCCCAUUAACGGCACGACGGCGAAGCAACUACACCUCUAGUUCCUCUAAUUAAUUAGCUAAGGGCAUCCCAUUUCACCCUCAUGGUUGCACUGUUAUCCCGGGUGGUCUCUCAACGAACAGGUCCUUACGGAGAGGUACUCGGGAAACAGCCCGAGUCCCCUAAAUGCCACAAGUAUAUCAUCAUAUCCAGAAUAAAAUCAUAGUAUCAUCAUUGUAUCUCAUCAUGUUCAUUGAUUAAAGUAAAGCGCUAGCAUGAAGCUAACCAUAGUAACCCGAAAGGUAAACAAGGAUAAGGUAAAUAGAAAGCUAGUAAAUCCUUAGGUUGUUCAUAGUAUGCAGGACAGUGUAUUAUAAAGUAAAUGGGACAUAAUGGGACAGAGGACACUUGCCUUCACCAAACAGAUGCUCAGGGUCUUCAGCCUCAUGGAACUCAAAGAGCCUGAUCACUUGGUCGCCAACGCUUGAUCUUCGAUUCCUCGAAGCACGAAAACAAAUCGCAAUCUAAUCGCAACGCGAAGCGAAGACGAACUAGUACAAGCAAAGAAACAUAUAUAUGCAUAAGAACAUUACACCAUACAAGAUAAAACAUUAUAAAAAUGUGCAGAAUAAAAUAGAGCUCGCUUCUACCGCCACGAGGGAAAGAAACGUGUCGGUCGGAGAUGCGGUCGACAAGUUAUCGUGUUUACGCUAAACGAAUACGAAGUAGGACAUUUAAUUAGGUGUUAUCAAAUAUAAAUUAUAACUACUAUUUAAUUAAAGCGAGGGAUUCUAAGCGAGACGAAUUUAUGAUGCGCGAAACAAUACAGCAGUGUGCAGACGACGCGCAGACACGCGCGACAUAGCACGCUAACGACACACGAAAAUAGCGCGCGCGACGAGCGCGAAUGCGCACGAACCAACACGCGACCAUGAGCCCAUCACGCACGAACAACGCGCAGACAGCACAUGAACGACGCGCGAAGCAGCACGCAACCGUGUGCUGAACAGCACGCGCGAUAUACGAGAAAAGCUAAAUCAGUGACGAGUUUAUAUUAAACAAGUGUUAGUUAAAUAAAAAAAUGAGUUAAGCUAAUAUUAGUCCGGUUAAUGUUUAUUAUAAAAGCGCGAGAUAAACACUACACAUUUAAUCUAAUUGAAAUGUUAGUCUAAUAAAUAUCAGUCGAGCAAACCUUAAGUUAAUUUCUAAGAUGUAUGACUUGACGAAUUAAUGUCACUAACAUGAAUAUUCAUAAGUGGCAAACUAUUUAUUAUCACACGCAGACGUCGUGCGACACACGCAAAACAACACGUACGAGCCAACGCGACUACACGUGUGAAUGGCUUGCUGACGCGCAAACGAUACCGCGCGCGAACAACAACAACAAAUAAUUAAAUAAAAUUAUUUAGGUUGAUAUUAAUCAAGUUAAUUAACAAUUGUAUUGAUAAAGGCACGAAUUAAAGCUAAAGUCUCAUUCUAAUUAAAUCGUUAUUUUAGAUAACCGACAACUAAACCAGAAUUGACUAAAUAGCGCGAGCAACUAUAAUGGAAACAAUUAAAUAAUGCGUGGAUAGCGCGCGAGACACGUGAGCAGCAAGAGACGACACACGCGGCAGAGGAACCGAGACGAUCGACGCAAUGGUCGAGAGAUAUCACAUGCAUGCUAGGCGGAUAUGAAUUACAAUAUUUUAACUCGACCUAGUCAUACUAACAGGCAACUAUCACAUGCAAAGAUAAAAUCGACGCUUAGCUUUGAUGGGUUUGCUACUCGUUUACUCGCUGUUUAAUUACGUAAAUUAAUUAACGUGAGUGAUUCUAGGCGAAAUAGUUUAUUGUCGUACGACACGGCGCAUGACCCACUAAACAAGGCGCGCGGAGAACGGCGCACGCAACAACGCGCGAUACGCGACAAUGCGCAAAAACAGCAUGCGGACGACGCACGGCAACGUGCGCGACACACGCGAAAAUGGCACACGUGACGACGCACAACACUAUGUGAAAUAGCAUGCUAGAAACUAUACAUCAGUUUUAACUAGAAAGCUACUGUAAUAACCAUCAGAUAACUAAUUAAUUAAUUAAAACUUGUGACACGAUAAAAUAACAUUAUUAACAUGUAGGCGACAUCAUAGCAAUGCUAACAUAAUUUAAACAGGUCGAAACAGAUUUUUGACGCAAAAGAUAUGAAUAUUUAACAAACUAGAAGUCUAUUCAUAAUUAACUAUAUACUUUGGGGGCUAGCAAAUAAUUUUCGCAUGACUCACCAAAUAGUAUAUUAAUUACAUAAAAAGUCAUGGGCUUCUACGCAAAAUUGGGGAGGUGGCUGUGGACUGGGCUACGUGGCAAAAUAUGAUUGGUCGAGUGGCUAGCCAUAUAGAGGGCCACAGGAUUGUGGGCACAGAAGAUCCACAUAUGGUGUGGGGCAGCUCUCUUUUCUAUUUUCUAUUGGUUGGCUGCAAAGUGAGAAUCGUGAGGUUGCAUACACAUGGGGUCAGGAUGUUUCUUCAAACGCACAACAAGAAAUCGUGAGGUGGAACUUCUCAACCGCAUGCAUGUACGAAUACGGAUGUGGCUGGCCUCACCUUGCGUGUGGGAGGUGGGAGGUUUUGACGGCAGCGGCCAGCACGGCGGGGAACCGAGUGGAGCUCGCUGGCCGGUAGCACGCCUCGCACCAGAGUAGCAAUUGCCAUGGCCACGCGGUAGGGGCUUGCUGCGCCGGCUCGCCGAUGGUGUGGGCUGGGUGUGCUAGGCGCGCAGCAAGGCUAGGCUGUGGCACGGACGUACUUGUCCACGGCGAAGAGAAGGAGCACCGGUCGAGGAACACCGGAAGCGAGAAACGACGGCGUCGGUGCGCAAGGGCAGUCCUGAAGCGGCGCGACGCGAUGCGAGAAGGAGGAACGGGGAAAACUACAGGGCACGGGCCUACCUUGGCAUCGCAGGGUGUACCGACCACGGAUGCUGAUGAGACUCGACGGCUCGUCGAAGCAGCGUGCAUUUUCUAGACAUGGAGCAGCCAUGGCGAGGGGCAGUGCACGAGGAGGAGAGGGGUCUGGGGGCGACGAACUGCGCAGGCGAAAGAUGGGGCCGCGGGUGGUUCUGGCUUUGGAACUUUAGGCACGGAUCCGUGGACGUGCGCGCUGACUGCGGAGGGAGCAAUUCGGGAAGAUGAACCGUGGGCGACGCUCGUGUGAUUGACAGGUGGGCCCGGCGGCGCGCGUGGCUGGGGGACGAGGCGGUGUGGGCGCUAGGGCACGCGAGGCACGGCUUUGGCGCGCUGCUGGGCUGCGGAACGCUGGGCCACAAGGGGGAAGCACGGGAGGGGGGGCUAGGUGGGCCGUCCAGAAGCUGCACUGCGGGGAGGGCUGGACCUUUUUUGUUUUCCUUUUUUAUUUUCUUCACCUCUUUUUUAUCUAUUUCUAUUCGAAUUUAGAUAUAGCUUUUGAAUCUAAAAUUCAAAUGUACUACAUGAGUUUGAAUAGAUGCACAACCACAACAAUUCAACGUACAAUAAAAUGUCUCGGCAUGCUAUGCAAUAAUUAAGGACUCUUUUAGGGUUCUAUUUUACUAGGCUUACAUAUAUAAAACAAAAUAACACUCCACUAUUUAGAAAAAGGGAAAAAGAAGGAAAGAAAGAGGGUAACACCUGAAUUUGGUGGAUAUCGGAAAAGAAAUUUUAUACUCCCAAAAAUCAGGGUGUUACAAAUCUAACCCCCUUAACAGAAUCUCGUCCUCGAGAUUCAAGAAGAGGCUAGCAAGAAAAUGAGAUUGGUUUAUUGGUUUUUCAUAGCUUCCCCCGACUCAACUUUGACUCUGGCAACUUUAACUUGUGGCCUGGUUGCUUUGACCUUCAGAUGCCUGAGACCGAUCAAUGCAAUUCUUGAGGAUCUCUUGGACCUGUGGGUUAGGACCCACACACGCUUCCGCUGUGCCACUCUGAUCUUGUUGGUUGAUGUUGAUCGCAUUGUCUUCAUCGGGGUUAGCGGCUAACCCCCUUAACAGAAUCAUUGAUAUGCACUUGAUGAAGGUGCAGCCGACUCCGAUCUUGAUUGAUUAAGAGAGGUUGGAGGUUGCCAAGUGGACAGGUGCAAGAGGAAAGAAUAGCAAGAAAAGGUAAGCAUAGACGAAUUAAAGAGAGCAGGGGGGAGAACCCAACUACUUAACUCUAUGGCACUCAGCUAGUAAACGGAUGCCAUUGCGGACCCGGAGGCCACAACACACCAACACUCAUCACAAAGAAGCAAAUCAGUCAUAACACAAAGACAAACAACACAAGCAUACAACAACAAACAUCUCGUUGCUAUACGUAACCUUUAAUUAAGUGGUGGUCUCUUCUUACCAAGGGGAAGCUAUUCUAGGGCCAUCGAAAGGCAAGGGGAAUAAUAAGACAUGCAGGAUAGGGGCAUGAGCAUAACAAAGGAUGGAGCUAAAGCAAGGAUUGUAACCGACAAGGGAGAGAAUGCAACCAAGUCAGGAUAGGUAAAACACCAUUUUCAAAUCGAGAUGGAAAAAAUGAUAUUUCAAAAGGAAGGCAUAAGAUAACAUCAUGGAAAGAUCUAGAGAUUACAAAGGUAAGGGAGGUGAAAGGCAAAAACACACCAAAAGGUAGAGUUAGGACAAGACUUGCAACGCGAUAGAGGAAAAAGGGAACGAACAAGAGCGGGAUAGGGAAAACAACACUCUUGGAUUGAAAUGGAAUAAGUGAAGCUAAGAAAAAUAGGUAAACAUCAUGGUAAAUAUGGAGAGAGGUCAAGGGUCAUAGGUGAUAAUAGGCAAGGAUAUAAAGGGAGAGGUAAAUGUGCAUAAAAAAACCAGGAAUCUAGGUACAACCAAGAAUAGAGUUAAGAUAAGUCUUGCAAGUGGUAAAGUAUAGUAUAUAUCCACAGGUGAGGUAAGUAAGAGACCACGCUUGAACUAAGGUGGGAGAUUGGAGGUUUUAGAUAACGAACAUAGCGUAAUCGCCAAGGUAAGAUUGAGAGAUGAGAAGGGUAGAGGCAAUAAGAAACAAAAGCAUAACGAAGGAUGAGGUUACAAACUCGCGAGCCAAAGAAGAGGAUACGACCAAGAGAAAGAAGGUAUGAGACGAAAGAGGGGCGAUUUUAAAGGGCAGGUAUGAGAUGAACAUCAAUGCAAUAUAUAGAAGUGUCAAGGGGUAAAGGUGAUAAUAAUAAAGAGCAUAGGAAAGGAUGGAGCUAAGGCAAGACUCACGGAAUGGCGAGAUGAAGAAAACAAUCACGGGUAAGGUGGGUAAGGUUCCAACAGAAUGGUUCAGUAAAAGAAAUUAUUACAGAGGGAAGUUAUAAGGAAUUAAUGAGAUCACCAAGGAAGUGCAAAAUAAAAUAACCGCUCAUGGAUCAUUAAGAAACAAGGGUGAUCAAGGGCAUGUUAACUGAAAUGUCUUAAACAGACAUUGGGGCAUGAAGAUAAGCAUACACGAAAAUAUAAGAGUAUGCAAGACUCAAAAGAUACGAGCGUACUAAGACCAAGGUAAUAGAAAUUGUCGAAAGAUAGCGUCUUAUCAACAGAAUAAGAAAGGAUCUCAGAAGACGAGAAGGUCAUAGACACAUAAACUGAACUGUUUAAAUAGACAGCAGAGGUACAAGGGUAAGUGCUUUAGAUUAAGGGAUAAGGGUAUUAAAAAUGCAAGGAUACGAGCAUGUCAAUAACAAAAUGGAAUAGAGAUGGUCAAAUAGUAGCAAUUUAAUAAUGGAUGAGGAAAGAGUCCCAAAAGACUAAAGGCUAUGGUCAAGGGGCAUUUACAAAGAUGUCGCAAGCACAAGAUGAGAUCAGAUCUAAUAGAUUGAGAGAAGUAUAGAUCACACCAGAAUAAAAUACUUUUGGCAAGGGGGCAUAUAGGAGCACAACAUAGAAUUAGUCGAGGUGACUAAUAUUUUGAAGCGGAAUCAAGGAUGAGGUAAAGUAGUAAUCAAUAAGUCCUUAGAACAGCCAAUGCUACUCUAGGUUAGCGGUCCUACAGUCAGCACGGCUUUGAUACCACUUAUGUCACACCCGGUUUUGAAGGUAAACCGAAUGCGAACCAUGUACGUGCCAGGAUCAGUAAUUCACGUACACAGCGAUUACAUAAAUGACUCAUCAUAGCACAAUGCUUCGAAUUACAAUAAAGAGUAAGUAAUAAUAUUACAAACUAGAGUCAUUUACAUAAUAUAAUCAAAGUACACAGAAUCGAAACGUGGCCAACGUAAACAACCCACCACAGGCAGCUGACUGGGGGAGGUCGCUAGCCUAAUCCUCGAACUCAUCGACGUCCUGGAACUCCUGGAGAUCCGCCUCGACGCCUUGUUCUUUACCUGAGCAUAGAUUGCACCAAAGGCAACCUGGUGUUUUGUGAAAGCAAGGGUGAGUACACAUCAACGUACUCAGCAAAUGUCCCGUUUGGCUGUAGUGGACUAGCUUUAUUUGGGGUUAAGGUCAAGCAGUUGCUUUUAGUUGGUCAAGUUAUUAUUACUAAUUGAGAGCCAGGUUUUAACAUUAACCCAAGUUAUUAACCCAAAGUACCCUUUCCAAACGGAAAGAAUACCACUUACCAUUACCAUAGUCAAACCAUCAUCCUUGUCACCACCUGUGAACCAACCAUCUCUGAUCAAGUAUCUCUAAUCAAAGAGGAUCCCAAGGCCGCUCAUAACCGUGAGCAUGGCUGAUAUAUCAGUUUCAUUACCCUCUGCAGAGGUCGCACACUUUACCCAUGAGCCGUGAUUCCCGUUUUGCCCGGGGAUCAUGACUCCCCAUUGAUCACUUCCUAGGUGGUCCGGCAGGGUAUCACUACGUAGCUUUUACAAAGAUUCCCUAGAGGUCAUAGCCGCCCGUUAGGUUUCUCCAGUUUGAUAAACACAGUACUCCUCCCCGCAGGAGGGUGACUAACAAAAGCAAAACGAAAGGACCUCGGCACCCCGCCUCGGCAGAGCAAGCACUGUGCCUGGACCCCAUUAACGGCACGACGGCGAAGCAACUACACCUCUAGUUCCUCUAAUUAAUUAGCUAAGGGCAUCCCAUUUCACCCUCAUGGUUGCACUGUUAUCCCGGGUGGUCUCUCAACGAACAGGUCCUUACGGAGAGGUACUCGGGAAACAGCCCGAGUCCCCUAAAUGCCACAAGUAUAUCAUCAUAUCCAGAAUAAAAUCAUAGUAUCAUCAUUGUAUCUCAUCAUGUUCAUUGAUUAAAGUAAAGCGCUAGCAUGAAGCUAACCAUAGUAACCCGAAAGGUAAACAAGGAUAAGGUAAAUAGAAAGCUAGUAAAUCCUUAGGUUGUUCAUAGUAUGCAGGACAGUGUAUUAUAAAGUAAAUGGGACAUAAUGGGACAGAGGACACUUGCCUUCACCA